UCGGCAGGAGAGCAGAAUUGCCAGACGAAACCGUAAGGAUCCUUGACCGUGGUCACGCGCUCAGCACAACAGCACGCGCCUUCACCAUCCACAACCCCGCCCUCAGCCACAGCCCCAGCGGCCACCGCCUUGGUCACCGCAGCCUCCACGUCUUCAGUCUCUAGGCACAUCGCAAACACAGUCCCCCCCGCCUUGGUCCUGGUCAAAUCAUGUGUGGGUCAUAAACCAAAUCACAAACAGGUGGGUACUAAACUAGAAAUACAAAAUCAUAAGGCACGGGGCAUAAUAGUCUACACGUGGAGAUUCAGCACUACAAGAUAUAUACGACAAAAUUGAAAAAAACGUUUAGAAUUAAAAAAAACAUUAUUUUAUUGAGAUGGUAAAGAAAAUAGGACGCCAAGACACAGAAUCAUCCGGUAUAAAAAAAAUAGAACAAACCGAGCCAAGGGAUUUUUAGCAGAUAAAUAAAUAAAAAUAUGAAAAAAUCCGGAAAAAUUAAAAAUAAAAACUUAACGACUAAAACAUCGGGACGCAGAAGUAAAAAAAUACUUGCAUGCCUCCUAUACAGACGUAGGAGAAUCAUAAAACGGUCGACAAACCACAGCAAAACGCGAAAACAUAGAUAAAACGCAAAGAAGACACGGAUACAGCAGUAUAAACGUAUUAAACAGACUCAAGCAUGUACCAAACAGUAAGAUCUGACAAUACAGAAGCCAUUUUCAGAAGCAUAAAGGUCAAGAGGGAGAGCGAGAGGGAAACGUACGAGGCAGAGUCAUCAGAGAGGUCAGAGACAAGAAAGGUGGAGCCAGCGAGCUGAAGCUGAGCGGAGACGAUGUGAGGGAGCUCCUGGUCUGCCUUGCGCUUAGGCUGAGUAGUACGGCAAGUUUCAACGGCA
rnacentral:lncRNA from 1 species